rnacentral:rRNA from 1 species
GAUGAACGCUAGCUACAGGCUUAACACAUGCAAGUCGAGGGGAAACGAUGAGAGAGCUUGCUCUCUUAGGCGUCGACCGGCGCACGGGUGAGUAACGCGUAUCCAACCUACCCAUUACAGGGGGAUAACCUUGCGAAAGUAAGACUAAUACCCCAUGGCAUUUUAUGGUGGCAUCAUUAUAGGAUUAAAGAUUUAUUGGUAAUGGAUGGGGAUGCGUCUGAUUAGCUUGUUGGCGGGGUAACGGCCCACCAAGGCAACGAUCAGGAGGGGUUCUGAGAGGAAGGUACCCCACAUUGGAACUGAGACACGGUCCAAACUCCUACGGGAGGCAGCAGUGAGGAAUAUUGGUCAAUGGGCGAGAGCUUGAACCAGCCAAGUAGCGUGAAGGAUGACGGCCCUAUGGGUUGUAAACUGCUUUUAUAGGGGAAUAAAGUGAGCUACGUGUAGUUUAUUGCAUGUACCCUAUGAAUAAGGACCGGCUAAUUCCGUG